rnacentral:rRNA from 1 species
UACGUAGGGGGCAAGCGUUAUCCGGAAUCAUUGGGCGUAAAGCGCGUGUAGGCGGUUCCGUAAGUCCGCUCUGAAAGCCCAGGGCUCAACCCUGGGAGGCGGGUGGAUACUACGGAACUGGAGUACGGAAGAGGAGAUUGGAAUUCCUGGUGUAGCGGUGAAAUGCGCAGAUAUCAGGAGGAACACCGGUGGCGAAGGCGGGUCUCUGGGCCGUAACUGACGCUGAGGAGCGAAAGCGUGGGAAGCGAACAGG